rnacentral:rRNA from 1 species
UCUUGGAGAGUUUGAUCCUGGCUCAGGACGAACGCUGGCGGCGUGCUUAACACAUGCAAGUCGAACGAAGAGCGAUGGAAGCUUGCUUCUAUCAAUCUUAGUGGCGAACGGGUGAGUAACGCGUAAUCAACCUGCCCUUCAGAGGGGGACAACAGUUGGAAACGACUGCUAAUACCGCAUACGAUCUGACCUCGGCAUCGAGGAUGGAUGAAAGGUGGCCUCUAUUUAUAAGCUAUCACUGAA